CGGGCAUAAGUAUAUUACCGAAGCUAUGGACUCCAAUGGAGUGGUAGGGGAGCAUUCUAUCUGCGCAGAAUGUGGUCUGCGAGGAUUGCUGGAGCGGAUAGAAAAGAAAAUGUAGGCAUAAGUAACGAUAAUGCGGGCGAGAAACCCGCACACCGAAAGACUAAGGUUUCCUCAGCUAUGCUAAUCAGCUGAGGGUUAGUCGGGACCUAAGGAUAAUCCGAGAGGAGAUUCCGAUGGAAAGCAGGUUAAUAUUCCUGCACCAGUUAAUACUGUGAUGGGGUGACGGAGAAGUGAACGUCCUGCGUACUGACGGAAUAGUACGUUGAAGGGUGUAGACGUUGAUUGAGUAGGCAAAUCCGCUCAUGAGUUGAACCUGAUAGUACUGAGCGUCAUUUUGACAAUCAGAUAUGGACUUAAUCAUGCUCCCAAGAAAAACCUCUAAACUUCAGGUAUUAACUGCUCGUACCCUAAACCGACACAGGUAGUCAAGAUGAGAAAUCUAAGGUGCUCGAGUGAUUCAUGGCUAAGGAACUAGGCAAAAUGGUCUCGUAACUUCGGGAGAAGAGACGCUCUUCGGAGCCGCAGUGAAUAGGCCCAGGCGACUGUUUAUCAAAAACACAGGACUCUGCGAAAUUGAAAGAUGAAGUAUAGGGUCUGACACCUGCCCGGUGCCGGAAGGUUAAGAGGAGAUGUUAUCCUUUGGAGAAGCAUUGAAUUGAAGCCCCAGUAAACGGCGGCCGUAACUAUAACGGUCCUAAGGUAGCGAAAUUCCUUGUCGGGUAAGUUCCGACC
rnacentral:rRNA from 1 species